rnacentral:rRNA from 1 species
CACACCGCCCGUCACACCAUGGGAGUUGGCUCGACCUUAAGACGGUGCGCUAACCCGCGAGGGAGGCAGCCGGCCACGGUCAGGUCAGCGACUGGGGUG